GAAUUGGAAGCUGACUCCGCAUAGCGCAUGCUGAGGCUGGGCCGGCUGGACUGAACAUUAUGAGCUGAAUCAUGGUACAUGGUUUGGUCCUAUUUGCUCUUCAAAAGUGAUACUUGGAUGGCUGUUCUCCUGACAACAUGAAGCCUGAGGUCAAACUGCACUGUCCAUUCUUCUCACUCUGUCAGGCUGUGUUCUGUGUGUUUGUGUUCAGGCGUAAAGGCACUACUGGACUCACCAGAUGGAUUGAAAUUCUCGAGACAGCUCGAUUUUGAGAGAGUCAUCUCGUCUCAACACAACCCUCUCAAGGAGGUAGCCCUGAAGAACGUCCUGUAUCUGACCACAUACUGCCCCGCCCUCAGAGACGGUGUCUGGGAGCUCAUCUUCCCAUCAGACGCUCUCUAUCGAUUUGUGACCCCAGAGGUUAAAGUUCAGCAACAGGAGCAAGCC